ACUUUCUUAAAAAGCUAAACUUAUAUCUAGCCAUUUCACUCCUAGGUAUUUAUCCAACAGAAUAAGAAAUAAUGUCCAUGCAGAGACUUGUGCAUAAGUGUUCAUAGCAACUUGAUUUGCAAUAGUCCGAAACAGGAGAGAGCCCGGGUGUGUAAAUAAAUCAGCUGGAGUGCACUGCUAGUUCAGAACACUACUCAGCAAUGAAAAAGAACCAGCUACUGCUACUACUGCUGCACACAGCCGCAUGAAUGGACUUCAAGUAAUUAAAUGUUGUGUGAAGGAAGCCGGACUCUAAAGGGAAUACAGUGUAUGAUUCCACUUAUACAAAACUGUGUGGAAACCACUGUAACAGAAAGCAGAUCAGUAAUUGCUUUGGGUUUGGCAGGGCUGUGGAGGGUUGGGGCAGACUUGGUGGAGUGAGUGGCCUACAGAAGACUCUGGUGGCGGUGGCUGUGUCCCUGUCUUGAUGGGCAUGGGUGUGUAAAUGAGCCCCAACCCAUCAAAACGUGCUCCUUAAAUAUGUGCGGUUUGUUUUAUGUCAAUUAUCACCCAAUGAAGAGAGCAAGAAGAGACUACCCGUGUGCUGAGAUAACGGUGGCCUGGAAAGCACAGGUAUUGGCCCUGAGAAGAGAUCAUGUAACGAAGCCCCCAGAAAGACUGUUGAAAGCCUAGGUGGAUAUAAUCAAAAUACACCACUUAAAUUCAAAGUGGCCACCUUCUCUGUGUACACAAGUCCAUACCCGAUGGUCUGGAGAAACGAGAGUGGGUUGAGAGGGACGUGCCCAGGCUGGCAGAAACUCAGAAGUCUGCCGUAGAAAUAGUUGAAAGAACUGGAGAUAUGAAGUAGAGAAUAAAAUCUGAGCUUUAGACCUCUUAGCAAAAUGUUUUUAGGGGGUCAUCUAAAAAGAGGAAAGGAGAGGUCGCAGGUGGUGGUAAGAGAUAGAAUUAAGACCUGUGAGCGGAAGUAAAGCAGGGAGUCCAAUUUCGUCUUGAUAUUAGGAAAAAUAAUAGGUGGAUGUUGGCUUCCUUGGUAGGUAGAUAGCGAGUUUCCUGUCUCUGGGUGUGUAUCGUGUGGGCCAGGGCACCACUCAGGUCUUGCAGAAGGAAUUCAGGCUUGCCUGGUUGAUCCAUCCUUACAUUGAUAUAACACUGUAUUCUGCAAGGUGCCUGCAUCUUUUUUUGAGGAAGAAUAGUUUCCUGUUAUUAAUCUCAAUCCACAUCAAGAAAGCUUUUUUCCUAGGUAAAUCAUAUUAGAGUCAGAGUUGGUAAUCAUUCCUAACUACCAGGCCCUUAGUGAAAAAUAAUGCCUAUUUCUGCUUUAUUCAUUAUAUCCAUGGUCAUUUUUUCAUUCAUUUCCUGUGAUGUUAAGACAAAUGAUAAAUAAAACAAUUGAGUGCUUAUUUCUUUAUUUGUCAUAUGUUGGUACUUUUAUUUGUUUUAUAUGGUAAACAGUUGCCAUAUUGAGAAUUAUAUGUAAUCCAAAGAGAUUAAUCCUUAGGAACUAUGCCAUACCUUUUUUAAAAAGAAUUUGAAAACUACGCCCCUUACACCUUUAGUGAAAAAAAUGGUUUAUUUUAGCAUUCUUAUUUUUAGGUAACUGGGCCUGGGUGUGGAGUAGGGUGGGGUGGAAUUUGUUCUUUCACUGCUGACAGCCACGUAGGUCUGGUGUACGGAGUGACUGUUUAUGCACUUUCUGCCCGCUGCGUGCUGUAUAAGGAAGGCAUGGCUGCCUCGCUCGGCACACACUUGUCCCCUUCACCACUGUGGACGAGUGUGCUCACGGUGCUGAAUGGCUGCAUUCACUCACUUCAGGAGACGAGUACGUUUGCUGGCAUGCUUGAGGGGGCCGGAGAGGAGUCUUUUCAUAGCAUGGCCAUUUAGCAGUGACUCAUGGUUACUAAACUUGUUUAGAGUAAUCUUUGACACCAGGAGGUUAUUAAUAGUUUUUCCUCGUCCAUGAUCUUUCAGCUUAGGAGAGCAUCCCAGUGUUUCCUCUGAUGAUGUUGCGCGUGUGUGCACGCACGGUUUUCCUUUUAAAUGAGCACGGGAAUCAGGGUGAUAACAGAAUCGCUCUCAUUACGAAACAUUUGGCGCCAAUAAUAUUUCUCGGGUUACUUCUAGAUUCCAUCUCACAUUCUUUGUCUUCAUUUACUUUGAUUUAAGAACUUGUUUCCCUGAGGUCACCUAAUAGCUUUCUGAGGAAGAAUUGCUACUGAAGGCGGUACAUACAGAUCAGUAUAUAUCCAGAGGGCUCUUGUUCAAGGUGAGUCUGUUGCUAAAGCAUAGGUGUGAAGAAACUCAAAAGUAAAAAAUACACAAGAUAGUAAAUGGACUUAAACCCCUCAAAAAUAUAUGGGUCCUUUGAGACAUUUCUCAGUAAUAACCACUUACAUGUAAAUUCUAAUAAAUUCAGUUAUGUAAACUAAUGAAUAAAAACGUGAAAAAUUCUGCUUACAGACCCGUUUCAAAAUUGCUUCUAAAAAAGACGACUUU